GAGGAAGAACGUAGCGAAAUGCGAUACUUGGUGUGAAUUGCAGAAUCCCGUGAACCAUCGAGUCUUUGAACGCAAGUUGCGCCCGAAGCCAUUAGGCCGAGGGCACGCCUGCCUGGGCGUCACACGUCGUUGCCCCCCCAUCUACUCCUUCGGGAUUGCGGGGGGCGGAUGAUGGCCUCCCGUGCGCCUCGUCGCGCGGUUGGCAUAAAUGCCAAGUCCUCGGCGACGCACGCCACGACAAUCGGUGGUUGCGAAACCUCGGUUGCCCGUCGUGUGCGGUCGUCGCGCAUCGAGGGCUCGAAAAAAUUGCCGGGCUCCGGCUCGGCUUUCAACGCGACCCCAGGUCAGGCGGGGUUACCCGCUGAAUUUAAGCAUAUCAAUAAGCGGAGGA
rnacentral:misc_RNA from 1 species